CAGAGCCGCGGUAAUACAGAGGGUGCGAGCGUUAAUCGGAUUUACUGGGCGUAAAGCGUGCGUAGGCGGCUUUUUAAGUCGGAUGUGAAAUCCCUGAGCUUAACUUAGGAAUUGCAUUCGAUACUGGGAAGCUAGAGUAUGGGAGAGGAUGGUAGAAUUCCAGGUGUAGCGGUGAAAUGCGUAGAGAUCUGGAGGAAUACCGAUGGCGAAGGCAGCCAUCUGGCCUAAUACUGACGCUGAGGUACGAAAGCAUGGGGAGCAAACAGGAUUAGAUACCCCGGUAGUCCCUGUCUCUUAUACA
rnacentral:rRNA from 1 species